GAUGAACGCUGGCGGCGUGCCUAAUACAUGCAAGUCGAGCGAACGGACGAGAAGCAUGCUUCUCUGAUGUUAGAGGCGGACGGGUGAGUAACACGUGGAUAAAAUAACUAUACGAAUGGGAUAACUUCGGGAAACCGUAGCUACUACCGGAAAAUAUUUUGAACCGCAUGGUUCAAAAGUGAAAGACGGUCUUUCUGUCACUUAUAGAUUGACACGCGCUGCAUUAGUUAGUUGGUAAGGUAACGGAUUACCAAGGCAACGAGGCAUAGCCGACCUGAGGGGGACGUCCGCCAGACUGUAACUGAGGCACGGUCCAGACACCGACAGUGGGCAACGGUAGGGAAUCUUCCGCGAUGGGCGAGAGCCUGACGGAGCAACGCCGCGUGAGUGAUGAAGGUCUUCGGAUCGUAGAACUCUGUUAGUAGGGAAGAACAUAUGUGUAAGUAACUGUGCACAUCUUGACGGUACCGAAUCAGAAAGCCACGGCUAACUACGUG
rnacentral:rRNA from 1 species